UACGUAGGGUGCAAGCGUUGUCCGGAUUUACUGGGCGUAAAGAGCGUGUAGGCGGCCAAGCAGGUCCGUUGUGAAAACUGGAGGCUUAACCUCCAGACGUCGACGGAAACCGCGUGGCUAGAGUCCGGAAGAGGAGAGUGGAAUUCCUGGUGUAGCGGUGAAAUGCGCAGAUAUCAGGAAGAACACCAAUGGCGAAGGCAGCUCUCUGGGACGGUACUGACGCUGAGGCACGAAGGUCAGGGGAGCAACGGG
rnacentral:rRNA from 1 species